GAUGAACGCUAGCGGCAGGCCUAACACAUGCAAGUCGAGGGGUAGAACACUUCGGUGUUUGAGACCGGCGCACGGGUGCGUAACGCGUAUGCAAUCUACCUUGUACAGGGGAAUAGCCCAGAGAAAUUUGGAUUAAUGCCCCAUAGUAUAUAACCUUCGCAUGUUGGUUAUAUUAAAGUUCCAACGGUACAAGAUGAGCAUGCGUCCCAUUAGUUAGUUGGUAAGGUAACGGCUUACCAAGACGAUGAUGGGUAGGGGUCCUGAGAGGGAGAUCCCCCACACUGGUACUGAGACACGGACCAGACUCCUACGGGAGGCAGCAGUGAGGAAUAUUGGUCAAUGGUCGCAAGACUGAACCAGCCAUGCCGCGUGCAGGAAGACGGUCCUAUGGAUUGUAAACUGCUUUUAUACAGGAAGAAACCCUCCCACGUGUGGGAGCUUGACGGUACUGUAGGAAUAAGGAUCGGCUAACUCCGUG
rnacentral:rRNA from 2 species